CUGCUGCCGGCCGGUUUUGUUGAGGUCCUGGCCACAGAGGUGCGCGGCGAUGAAGUGGCCACGGAAGGCGGGGAUGAGGGUGACCGUGGCCACAAAUCCCAGCAGCGAGCCGACCAAAUUCACCAGCAGCGGCAUCGGCAACUCCGGGAAGGCCCACAUGAUGACCAGCCAGGGGCCCCGCUCUGCCGCCGCCUCGGCUAAUGGGCGAGCUGGGCGGUAGCCCGGAGCCCCCCGCGGGGAGGAGCAGCCGCUCGGCACAGGCUGGAUCCUCCCACAGCGGCCUGAGCAAAACCCAACUCUGAAUUGAGGCGCCCCCAGGACUCCCGCGAGCCUCCAGCGCGCACCCUCGGCUGUCCCCCGCCGCACUUGCCUCCUCACUGUUUCCUCCCGGAUUUUGUUCGCAGAGCCACCGGCGUUUUGAAGCCGGCGGCGGCCAUUUUUAGUACGGGCAGGCAGAGCGAGGGAUGUAAGUGUUACUUUAAACCGCGUCCUUCCCUCGAGCGUCCUCACCACGAGGGUGUUGGGAAAACAAUUAAAGACAGACCAACCAAAACGGACACUUUGCUAACACCGUGUUAAAAGUGUAUAGCCCAAAGCGGAAAAAACUCCCUGCCCGGUUCCAAGAUGAACACCUCCUUUUCCCACGUGUCUGACGCCGCUUACUCCAGGUUCCACGUCAGUUUUAGGACGCCGGCCGCGGGAGGUCCCGUUUAAAGGGCCACGAUCCCGCGUUUCCCCCGGGGUCCCUCGGGAGCCGGGAAGAUGGCUCCGGGAGGCCGGGGGUACGGCAGGAGGGACGAGGAUAAGGAGCAGCUCCCGCUCCCCGGGAGAAAACCUGUCGCCAACGUAGUCGGAAGCCGAGGUAGACGCAGCCUGGUUCCCGGGAACGCAGCUACGGCUCGGAAGCCGAUGUAAAUCCUGGAGCCUAGGCACUUGAAAAGUCCCUCCCACUCCUCCCACUCCAUGUUUUUCUUGUCCUUGAUUCAGGUCCUGGAUCAGUGCAAGGUGCCAAGCUCCCAAACCCAGGAGGCGAGGCUGUGGCGCGUUGGAAACAGCUGAGGAAAGCAGGCUCCUCCGCCCCACACGUGGCUUCUUCCUGUUGCCCUGAGGAGCUCCCCCCACUCCGGGUUCCUCAUCUCGGUCACCGUGCUUUUGGCUUGUGGCACCUGUGUCCUUGAAAAUCACAGUUCAGCUUCUCUCCUGUCUCUCAAACCAGGUGUGAAAUAUCCCUUCUACUUGAAGGCAGCUCUAAUUAGCAACAAGAACCAUAUAUGUAUGAAGUAUACUUUAUAAAGUAACCCCAGUAACAUGCUUGAUAGUGGUCCACCAGAUUUUCAGUAACUAUAAUUGCACCGGUAUUGUUUACCCGUGUUCGUGGACACGUGUGUGCGCAUGCGCACGUGCAUCUGUGCCUCUUAGACGGGGAACUCCCUAGAGGCAAGUGUUUUCUAUUCCACACAGUAACCCCGUGGGGCUAAGGACACAGAGCUAUCUGUCUACAAGGCACCAUCCCACACUAUGAGUCUGGGUCUUAAAGAGAGAUAAAUGGCCAUAGGAGCACAUGGAGAGAGAAAUUAGUUGUGACCAGGGGAGGUGAGUAAUUAUCUCCAAAGGUUUCAGUAGGUGGCAAGAGUGGAAGGGCCUCCCAAGUAGGGGAAGUGAGACUCUAGGAGCAGGUGGAAAGGAGGAGCUUAUGGGAGCCUCAGAGGAGGCAGCAUUCAGUAAUCUUGUUGAUCAGGAGCAGGCUGAGACUCCCUGGAGGUUCGAGGGACAGUGUAUCUGUUUCCUUUUUUAUUAGUUGUUCAAUCCUAAGAAAUCUUCCUUCCUGACCCAGCAUUGGGAACCUCUGACUCUUCUCCAGAGAUCAUUAGCCACCCCCCGACAACCCCCACUGGAACAGGGUUCGGAGGGGACUUGUUCAAAGACAACACACUAGGGAUUCCUCAUCCAAUAUCCAUGUUAUCAUCAGAACAUGGUUAUUGGGGAACUUGCAUUAUAAUCUCAGUAUUUUUGUUCCCGUGAUGAUAAAUGCCCAGUUGAUUAUCAGACUAAUUAGGAGAAACAAACACAGGACUUGACCACACUUGAAAUUUUGUGCCUUUCCUGGUAAAAAUUGGAAGCAUUUGCCUAAAUGCUAACGCUGGUCCUAGAACUCAUGGAUCAGAUGAGUUGUCAGUGGCUUCUGAUGGUUUCUUGGGUUGAGUAGACAACAUCUGAGGUGUGUGUCUCCUACAAGGAGGCCCUGUGAGCAAGGCCAAUCUAUUGUUCAGUUGCAUUGCCUGUCAAAGCCCAUCCCAAAAAUGUUUUACAGUGCCAAAGAAGUCCAUGAGACAGCUUUGGAUAGUCUGGGGCAACAACACUUGUAAGAUCCUAUCUAUGGCUCUUUCCAGGCAGUUGAGUUACUUUUUCCUUUUUUUCCUGCCUCUCCCCUAUCAGUGUAUCAAAAGUUGUUAGCUGAAAGCAAGCCCCAUUCCAUUGAGAUGGCAUGAGUUUUCAAAAUGCAAGCAAUAUAGAAACUCUUCGUGUUGGCAUGUA